CCAGGGGGAGACAGAAAAGGAGUUCGACGAGUAGGAUUUCAUUCACAUAAAAUAAUGACGAGGUGGCCUCAUUGAAACAGCAGCAGGCCCAAGAGAAUCACAUAACCCGUCAACCCAUAUACUAUGUCCCAAUCUUGUUGGGAGAGGGUACCCACGCACCCCUCACCCCGCUUCCUCAAUUUCACAACCCCGACUAUAUAAGGUCCUCCAUACACCACACAGAUAUUUUUACAUGCCUUCUCUCUCUACUCUAUUCCCCUCUUUCUCUCUCUCUCUACAAUGCAACUUGUGUUACAGACGAUAAGUGUUUGGAAGACAUGGCAUGUAAUAACUGCGACCCAGCAUUGUGGAAAAGCCGUGGCUUAUUAUCUCAGUUAUAGCUGACUGAGGACAUUACUCUGGAUACAAAGAUAUGUAAGAAAAACAUUAGGAUAGAGGGCUAAGGGUGUGGUUGAGUUGUAAUCAGUAAGUAGGGAAAUUGUGAUGUUCUUUGUUUGACAAUGUAUUUUUUUGUGGAUGUUGUAUUUAUGAUGUUUUAUCAUAUUAUAUGCUUUUGAUAUUUUUGUAUACUUCCUUUUAUCUUGAGUCGGAGGUCUAUCAAAAAUAGUUUUAGAGAUAGUGAUAUGAACUAUAUAUACUUUAUUUUUUUUCAGACCCCAGUAUGAAAAUAUAUUGAAUUUAUUAUUAUUGUAUGUUCCAUUGUUAGAUCGUGCUAAAAGGGGCUUUGCACCUUUAGUAUAUAUAGAUAUUCUAAAAUCUGAUUGCGGAUAGAAAACGCUUCAACAGACUUGCACCUGAUGGCGGCUUAAAAUAUAUCUCGUGGGGGCCAUCCCAAUUUUCCCCUUUUUUUGUUAUUGUUGUUAUUCCCUUCUCCAGUCAUUUGCCCCUCUUCCAAACUCUCUCGUCUCCACGUAACCUACUCUUAAGAUACUGAUUUUUUGUCGGUUUCUCUUUCUGCUGCUAACGCCAAAUUGAAUACUUUCCUUUCAUUUCUUACUGCAUCCUCCUUCAUCUUCUCCUCGGAUUCUCCGAUUUAAGUGUUCGAUCACUGCAUGAUGAAAUCGCAUUCCUUGUUUUUUCCGUCGAUGGCACGGUGGUGGUUAAAUUCACCAUUUUUCGGUUUGGUUCCUGAAAGAAAAACAAGUAUUUUUAAUAUCAUAUACGCGUCUUCGUUGCUUAAUUCAAUAUCCGAUAACUUUAGUGCACCGGUCUGCCCUUUUUAAGCUCUUGAAACAUGUGGUGUGCAAUCUAUGGGAACAUCAAGCUGCAUUGCGGAAAUGCAGUUGCUUCGUUUUUCAGAUAGCAAAAAACCAGAACUUUAACGUUGCUCGUGAAAUCUGUGCUGGCUCCAUAUUUGUUAUUGCAUCCUUUGAAUGCUGAAGUUCGACAUUAGUGUGAAAUGACUAGUUUGUCCCUGCUAAAAACUAUUGCAUGCAAAGCAUGUCGAUGCAAUGUUGAGGUGGAGCAAUCUAUGGGAUUUUUACUGCUGGAUCUAGCAUUGGCCGAUAAAUGUUCCUACUUCUGAAAAGAUAAAACAGAUAAGAGUUGUGCCAUUUAAUAGUUGAAUGGACUUGGGAGUGAUGGCAUGCAAAGCCUUUACAAAGUGACUGAUACUGUCUUUAAGAGGUAUAGAUGCUACAAGAUAGAAAGCAGUGAAAAAAAGGGUGCGGUCUGAACAUCAGUGUUGUCACAAAGGGGAGAAGGGGAAACAAAUCAGAAAAUAAAGGAAGAUGUUGGGCCAGGUAGAUAUUGAAGGCCAUGAGACAAAUACAAAUGAUGUGUAAGGUCAGUGCAGGCGCAGCAUACAUCAUGGUAGCGCAUUAGCUACCCAUGACUCAGGUGUAAGUGAAGAUAGAUACCCCUAAGUUAGCUCUUCCUCAUCUCUCCCCGAACCAUGAGAACUUUUGAAUGAACGGCAACUACAAGAGACAAAAUGAAGUGUCGGAUCAACUAGCAAAAUAUUGAUAUAGGAUGCAUCAUGAUAUAAUACAUUUUACUGAUUCUCCUUUGUUUGUCUUAGCUUUCUAGGCGGAGGAGCUAGGAAUUACUUAUUACUUAUGGUCUUAAACAUGUAAUGAGAUUUCAAUGAUACAAAACGUGUCAUUAAGGGUAUAAAAUGACACGUUUUAAUUAAAUUAUUCUAAAUGUAGAAAUGAGUCGUUUUUCCUAAUGAACUGCAAGGGAAUAUCGUUACAUCAAAUAAAAUAUAGAAGGAAUAAUAACUCUUAUGUUUGUAGUUAUGAAAUUUUGAUCGAAAUUUGUCAACUGAGGGUUCGAAUUAAAUUUGUUUAAUUAAUUACAUGUUAAAAGAGAAUGCUAAACGCCACCUGAUGGAGUUGAAAUUUGAAAAAAGUAGCUUAAGUGCCAGUACAUAUAUAGGAUUAUCCCUAAUUACACAUUUUUCUAAAUUGGUCAUCUUAUUUACACAAUGGAAGUAUUGAAUGUAUAGAUUUUGUAUAUUUGUGACUAUACAUAUAAUAAACAUUCCUAUAAAUAUACAUAUAAUAUACAUAUGUAUAAAUUUUGUAUAUUUUGGUCAUUUCAAUAAAUAAGUUUAGUCGAAUUGUGCAUAUUGGUUUGAGUUUCCAACUAAUUAUUCCCCUUCUUCUAGGCCAAAGCUUGUUCAUGUUAAUUAUAGUUGGUAAACUCACGGUAGAACUAUUUCAAUAUACGUAUACUGAUGUAAAAGUGACAAAACUCACAUCUCAAGUAUUGGUGGAUUAAAACGCCCAUGAGGAGCUGAUGCGCCUUUUAUCCUUGCAAAAACUAAAUUAACCAUUCCAUAUUAAUGUGUAGAAAAUGUAAUUCACACGGCUACACUUAUCGGUUCAAGGAUUGCAAGUCGACUAUGCUUGUCAAAUAUUGUCACAUCUGAGAAGCUUACAACUUACAACAACUGCUUGUCAAAUAUUAUCACAUGUGAGAAAAUAUUUUAAAAUAGAUUUGGAAAAUACAAAAGUGAAAGAAGCUCUAUAUAAUAAUACCAAAAAAAGGGAAGAACUAACAACAAACUAGUAGAUUACCAAAGCUAAAGAAACAACAGAAAUAAUAAAUUGAAAAAUUAGAUAAAAAUAAUGAUAAUAUUGAAAAUAAGAAGAAAACGGAUAUGGUGCUCCAAGCUAAAACCCUGCUCUCCGGUAUCUUUCAACAUUCUACCCUAACUCUUGACUCUCAUGAUCUCCUAUCUGGGGUCAUGUCCUAGGUGAGCAGAAGAUAUGUUAUGUCCAGUGUAUGAACACUUCUCAAUUUCUUUGGCUUGCCUCUACCUCUCUUUAUACCUACCACUCCAACCUCUCGCUCCUCAUUGGACAUUUGUGCUCCUCCUCUUCAUAUGUAUGAACCAUCUUAGUCUCGCUUCUCUCAUUUGUCCACUACGCAGAUCACUUUCACUUUGCCCUGUAUAUUAUCAUUCAUAAUCUUGUCUCUCCUAAUAUACCAGCACAUCUAUCUAAGCAUCUUUAUUUCUGCUACUUUCAUCUUCUGAAUAUGUGAGUUCUUGGUUGGCCAACACUCUACUACAUAAAACAUAGUCGAUCUAACAACUAAUUUAAGAAGGCACAAUACAUAAACAUGCCUUUUAACUUGACCUCAAAUCACAUCUAUGACAUCCAACUUUAGGUGUAUACAAGUAGACACUUAAACUUGUAUAAAGUUGAAUAAGUAGACACAUAAGUCCUAUGUGGCGUCCUAUAAGUAUUAUUUUUACAUAGAACGUGUGUUUGUUUGUUCAACUUUAUACAAGAAUAAGUGCCUACUACACCCAAAAUUGGAGGUUGUAAAUGUGAUUUGAUGCCAAGUUGAAGGGCAUGUUUAUGUAUUAAACCUUUUUAGAACUUGUUUUUAAGUCAUGUGAAACAUUCUUAUCACAUAAGAUACCAAAUGUGAGCUUUCAUUUCAUCCACACUACUCCAAUAUGAUGUCUGAUAUCAUCAUCUACAGUGCCCCACUUCCUUGGAUUAAUAUUGACCUAAGAUACAUAAAGCUUACUCUUUUAAUGAUGACUUGUGUCAAUCCUCACUUACACAUACGCCACAUGUGAUCCGUUACUAAAUUUGCUUUUAAAUACUUUAUUUUGGUGAUACUCAACCUGAAACCUUUAAACUCUAACUCUAAGGUCUUUCUCCAAACCUUGAGCCUGGCGCUAACUCAACUGCAUGUCUCUUCAAUCAAUACUAUAUUAGCUGCAAAUAACAUACUUCAUGGUACCUUCUCUUGAAUAUGUCAUGUCAAUUCUUACAUCGCAAUGCCGAAUAAAAAGGGAUAAGAGUUGAUCUUUAUGAAACCUCAUCAUGGAUGGAAAAUAUUUCCAAUCUCCUUCUACUGUUCUUAUUUGGGUCUUGACUCUAUUGUACAUGUCCUUAGUCACUCUAAUGUAUGUCACGUGCACAUCACUAAACUUUAAACAUCUCCAUAGAACCUUCCUUAGGACUUUGUCAUUGCCUUUUCUAGAUCAAUAAACAUCAUAUGUAUAUCUCUUUUUUUAUUCUUAUAUUGCUCCAACAAUCUCCUUAAAAGGCAGAUCACUUUCGUAGUUGAUCGCCUUAGCUUGAAUUCGAAUUAAAUCUUGAAAAUUGACACAUCCUCCUUAUUCUCAUUUCGACCAUCUUCACACAAACUUUUGUAGUGUGACUUGUUCUUAUACAACACGAUCACUAUACUCCACCUUAAUGCAUCUAACAUGUGAGAAGCUUGUAAUAAAAAAUAGAAACAAGGAGAUAUUCAAUGAACUUCUCAAACUAAAUUAUUUGUAAUAUAUAUUUCUAGAGACAAAGAAAUAUAAAUCUAGAACCCUCAUGAAAUUAUACAGUCCAAAUUGAAUGUUUAAUUCUUAGUUCUAUAACUUGAUAACUCUAAUAUAUCUCUUCUAUGUAUUUUAGUUUGGAGAUAUUUUGAACCAAUUGAAUUAAGUAAAUGUUAAACUUUUAUAUAUGGACCAACUCUAGAUGGGUUAUGUUUAACUUGGUACACUACUGAUUUUGGGAGUCUCUUAGCCCUGACAAUCUCUUUUCAUUGUGGAUUCUCCUUUUUAUUGAAUUUUUAUAACCAUUUUAGCGACAUACAUUUGUUGUGGGUGGAGAGGUCUCUAAUAUAUCUAGGUGACCUCCUAAGUUUUUAUUCGACCGCUUCAUUACUUUACUAGAGAUUGAGAUGAGGGACAUAAAUCAUGUAGGAGUGUUUUCCAACACAUUAUUGAUCAGUGUCAACCUGUUACAUAUACUAUUAAUCAUGCAGCUUAGUAUGCUAUUAUGUGUCCUUGUUGUAAGACUUUUAUUUUAUUUAUUCAGAUUAAUAAAGUCUUAAUUUAACUAGAUCAUUUUAUUUAUAUUUGUGUCCUUUACUUAUGAAGUAGACGAUUUUGUGUAUGGAGUUUUAUGACUCAUGGACGAAAGAAUAAAUUGUCGAUUCUUAUAAGUUAUAAAAUUAUGUCAACAAUCAAAGAUGAGGUUGGAUAAAUAUAUUGAUAGUUGUAGCAUAAAAAUAAAUAUAAUUUAUUCUUGAUUAUGGGAAUAAUCGCAUUCCAACUUCCUGUGCUAGUACACUUUAUGUGUAUUGAAUGGAUCAAGGAAAGAUGAUUAUUCAUCUUCUGAAUUUUGCGAACAACAUCUUUGAAUCAUUAAAUGUACUUAUACUUUUAAUCUUAAUAUAAUUAUUAUAAUCAAUGUAAGUUGUUCAUUGUCUUGAUUUGUCAAAAGGAUAAAACUCUUUUGUGAGUUAAUAUGUUCCCGAUAGGUUGAUGUUGACAAAUGAUAUAUGAUAUUUGUGAAGUAGUAAUUAGUUGAUAGAACUCAUGUCCCAACCACGAGAUUGAUAAUACUCCUUUAUGAUAGUUUAUAAUUUUUAUGAAAACCCUGUAGGUAGAUUUUAAAUUCGUCACAUAAAAUAAAUUAAGCGUAUGAAUAAAGGAUUAAACUAAUCAAUGAAUUAAAUAGUCCGAAAUUUAAUUCAGUUGAUUCGUAUUUAAGAUCUUAACAUGAGGAGUUAAAUAAGAUUUAAUGGACAAAUUUGAAAUUAUACGAAGUAUAAUUAUAGAUUUUUAAUGAAAUAACCUAUAAUUAAUUAUGAUAAGUUAAUUCAUUCAUUUUGUGAAUUAAUAUUAUAAUUAAAAGUCUCAUUAAUAAAAUUUGUGGUCCCUGUUAUGGCUGAUUAAUUAAUGAACUUGAGAAGAAAGAAAUUGAUUUUGUAGAAGCAGAAUCCUACAGGGUUUUGAAAAAAUAAAUUGGUCUUCAGAAGGAAAGUGGCACUCGUUUUGGAUUGGGUUUUACCCAAAAUUGUGUGGAAACCUUGAACAUGAAGAAAUCCUACUCAUUUUGGGACAAGGGUUUUACACCCUAAAAAGUGGCUAUAAAUAGGACUCUUCUCCUCCAUAUCACCCUUUCUGAGAAGCAAUACUUGCCCACACAAGUAUUUCACACUCGAAGAUUUUUAAGGCUAUAACAGAAGAUUGCAGACCUGGAGAACGCCUUGGACACUCUGUGUAAUAGCUUCAAGAGGUUAAUAAUUCGUAACCUAACUGAUAACUACGUCAUCUAGAUCUAUGAAACUUUAUGUGAUCCUCUUUGUUUGCUUCCGUUGUGCAUGUUCUAACACAUCCUCCCAUAAACAAAUAUUGUCUCUCCCAAGAAACAAUAUUCUUUUUAAAAUUUUCAUGAAUAACUAUGUCUCAUACCUCCAUUGAUUUAGGUUUUGCACCAACUGAUAGCGUAAGAUAAGUGAUAGGUAAAGCAGUAGUGCCACAACAUAGAAUUCCAGUCAUCCAGAUUUGUGUCUUCAUUGACAUGCAAAAUAAAUUUUUUAUUAUCUGCUUGAAGACCUAAAAUAGCUUCAAAGUUAAAUUACAAAACUAAGACCUUUCUGCCUUGCGAAAAAUCUAGUUGUCAUCUGCUUGAAGCAUAUGAAAAAUUGAGAGUGAGUGCGCAGAAAUGACCCCAAUUUGGAAGCUCCUAAUCCAUUCAAACAUCUUGGUGAGGCUCAAUUUUUAUUUCUCCAUCUUGUUGAACCUUUUCCCCAAAAAUAUUGAUAAUAGAAAUUUUCAUUUGAUGUCAAACUCUAGCAAAUGAUAUAUAUUUUUGAGCACGUCUAACUUUUUAUUAUUCCCAACAAAUUAUGCUAGGAUUCAUGUGCAGGAGCAUCCUAUGUACCGAGUUUAUUAGCCUAGCAUUCCAUCAGGAUUGUAAAGAUCGAAACGUGUUUAUGUUGAUAUUUAUCUAGAAGGACUUGUUACCCUUCUCUAGGUUUUGAUGGUUAACUUCUGCAUAUAAAUAGAUGACUCCAAGUGUGUUCGAUGACAUUCUGACACUGAAAAACGAAGGAAUUCAGCAAGUUUUACCACCAAAAGGGAUAUUAGCAAGCUCAGUGAGAGGAAAAGAAGGUAAGUAGGGGAGAGAAUUCGCAAUAGCUCACCAGUUGUAAUACACCUGGUAAUGGAGAAAUUUGGGAAAUUGAAGAUGUGAUACCACUGUAGUUUGAACACAAAGAUGAGCUGCUAGAAAAGAAAAUGAAAAUCACUGUAUGAAUGCAAUAAAAGCUCAUAAAGCUCAGCAAGUUGUUUGGAAAAGUCUUCAAAGGACAUGAAAAGAAGACUCUAGAACUACUUAUGCAAAUUGACGGAAGCAGACAAGCUAGACAAAUGAAAACAAAUGUGGAUAUCAGGAAAAACAAAGGCAAGCGUAUGCAGGAAUUGAAAAAAUUGAUCACCUUUGAUGUCAAGUUCAAAAGCAACGGGAGCAGAGCAAACAAAAAAGGGGGAAAAUCAAACUGAUCAAUGAAGCUCAAGAUAGUAUCAUGGAAUGUGAGCGGGCUAAACAACAUUGGGAAGAAAAGGAUAGUCAAAAACUAAUUAUUGGACUGGAAAGCAAACACUGUUUGCUUGCAAGAAACAAAACUAGAAGGAGAUUGCCAAGAUCACUUCAAUCAGAUUGAAGGAGGAAGAUAGUCAAGAUUUGCAACCCUGGAAGCUAAGCUAGUGGAAUAAGAGGGGGUUAAUUAUGACAUGGGAUUGUAGAGUAUGGAGGGGUGAAGUACUGCAGAUUGGUGCAUACUCUUUAACCUGGAUAUAUGAAGCUCUUCUACAAGAUUUCUCAUGUUACAUAACUAUCGUGUACAUACCAAAUUGCAAAGUGGAAAGAAGGCUACUUAUGGGAUGAACUAGGAACUAUGAGGUCUAAUGGAUGGCCCUUGGGCAAUCUUUGAUGAUUUCAAUGUUUGUAAAUUCCAAGAUGAAAAAUGAAAUUACAGUAGGAGAUCCUCAACAAUGUUGGAAUUCUCAAAUUUCAUUGAGGAUAUGGAGCUAGCUAACACACAACUUGACGGUGGAACCUUUACAUGUUUCAAAAGGGACAACCUAGAGGCUACUUCAAGAAAAGAUAGAAUCGUCUUCUCUCCUGAAUAGGAUGAGUGCUUCAGAAACAUUAAGCAAAUUCUAUUACAGAGGUUAAUAAUACCUGACCAUGUAUCUACUGAACUUUAUUGUGGUAGUUGGGAAGUGACAAAAUCCUAUUUUAAGUUUCAAAAUUGAUGGUUGACAUCUAAAGGUUUUGUGGAUAAGGUUAAUUCUAGUGAAGUUCUUUUGAGUUUACUUAGGGGCCUGAUUUCAUUUUAGCUUCCAAACUCAAAGCACUCAAAAAAAAGCUUAAAGAGUGGAAUAAGAGUGAACAAGGAAAUUUGAAACUGCAAAAAUGUAGACUGAUCAAUCAAAUAGCCUUUGAUAGAGGAGGAAUCAUCUAAGAAGGCUGAGACUUUCCUAUAGUAGGAAGAAGUUUUGAAAAAUUGAAAAGAUUGCCUGGAGACAAAAAUUAAGGGCCUUGUAGUUAUAGGAGGGUGAAAAAACACCAAGUUGCUAAUGCUCACAAGAGGUACAACUACAGAGACCAACUUGAUGUGCAAGGAGAAACUGUAACAGAGCCAGCAAGAAUAAAAACGAAGAUAGUAAAGUUUUAUAGAAAGUUAUACACGGAAGAGGAAGAGUGGAGACCAGCAGGAAAUAUAAGCAAUUGCCCUACCAUCUCAAAAGCAGAGGAAGCAGCUUUACAGGAGAAAUUUGAUGAACAAGAAAUGUAUAAUUGCCUUAAGCUGUAAGCAGUAGACAAAGUCCCAGGCCCGGAGGCUUUUCAUAAUUUUUAUGUGUUUGAAAGAAGCUUCAAUGCUACUUCCAUAGCUUUGAUCGCAAAGAAGAAAGGGGCCAAGAAAAUGAAAGAUUUUAGACCAAUAAGUCUUGUCGGAGUUUCUACAAAUUGAUUUUGAAGGUACUAACAGAAAGGUUGAAAAAAGUGGUGAACUUUUUAGUUGUCUCUCAACAGAUGACCUUCAUUAGAGGCAGACAAAUAAUGGAUGCAAUUUUGAUUGCUAAUGAGGCUAUGGAUUACAGAAUUUCACAAGGGAAGCCAGGGAUACUAUGCAAACUUGAUAUUGAAAAAGCUAAUGAUCAUGUCAAUUAGGGGUGUGUAUCCUAGAAGUUUUAGGGCAAAUGAGCUUUGGUGCUAAGUGGAUCAACUGGGUGAAAUAUUGUAUUUCUAUUGUGAAAUUCUCAAUUCUUAUUAAUAGAGGAACUGAAGGAUUUUUUAAUGCUCAAAGGAGGAUCAAACAAGGUGACCCCUUGUCUCUCUUUUCUCUUUAUCUAGGUAAUGGAAGGGCUCAAUAGAAAUAUUAAGGUGGCCAACACUCAUGGUUGGAUUCACGGCUUUGAAGUGGUUAGAAACAACAAUCAAAGGAUGGAGAUAACCCACCUUCAGAGUAUACUGAUGACACCUUAAUUUUUUUUGUGAUGCAGAAGAAGCACAACUGAAAUUUUUUAGGGUGAUUUUAGUCUUAUUUAAAGCUUUAUCAGGUCUCCACAUUAACUGAAGAAAGAGUCACAUUUACCUUAUUAAUCAUGUGCUAAACAUAAAACAACUAGCCAUUAUACUAGCAGGAGAAGUGGGUUGUCUUCCCACCAUCUACUUGGGUAUGCCUCUGGGAGCAAAGUCAAAAUCCAAAGGGAUAUGGAAUUCAGUUCUAGAAAAAUGCAAGAAAAAACUCUCAAAGUGGAAGUAGCAGUAUCUAUCCAUAGUGGGGAGAUUAACUCUAAUAAAUGCAGUCUUACAUGCAUUACCUACGUAUAUGCUAUCACUUUUUCUUAUUUCAUCAAGUGUUAUUCAGAGAAUAGACAAGAUCGGAAGGCCCUUCCUUCAGUUGCAAGGGAGCAAGGAGAAAAGAGCUUUUUAUCUAAUCAAAUAGACGUACAUCAUAAGAAGCAAAAAACAAGGUGGCCUUGGCAUUAGGAAUCUGAAACAUUGGUGCAAAGCUUUGAAAACGAAAUGGCUAUGGAGAUAUGCACAAGAACCCCAAACUUUAUGGGGCAGUGUCAUUAGAAGAAAAUAUGGGUAGCCAUACAUAUCCUAAAUCUUCUUAUCCUCCUUCUGUCUUGGUAGCCAUACAUAUUGAAAUUAGCCUUCUAUUUGUUCAUUUCUUGCCAUGAACCACCAUAAUCUUUAAACACCUUCAUAACCCUCUUGACUGACCUCUUAUCCUUAGGGGUGAAGAAAAUUAGAUUAUCAACAUAAGAAAGAUGGUUAAUGUUUUGUCACUUUACUGCUCAUAUUAAAGUCAUUAUGAUUGCUCUUGUUAUCAAGUUCUUUUAGGGCUCUAGUAAGGGCUUUGCAACUGUGAUAAAGAAAGCAACAAAUAGAGGGUCCUUUUGUUUCACCCCUAGGAGGAGUUAAAGAAGUCAUAGGAUGUACCAUUUUAUGAUAACCAAAUAUUAAUUGUUUGACAACAAUUUGUAGAUAAAAUUUAUAAAGAACGGAUCUUAGGCCUGACCCAACCCCAAAGGUAGCUCAUGAGGGAAGGAUUUUCCAAGUCCAUAUAAAGAGUCUGAUAGCUCAUUCCUUUUUUGAUGUGGGAUUCUUAACACUCGUUCACACACCCAAGCCUCGUUAACUGGAGCGUCGUCAAUAUAAUAUGACGGCCUAACUUCGGUCGAAAAGAAUUGGGAUGGGCUUGACUCUGAUACCAUGAUAAAGAAAUGGACUUUGAACCUAACUCAACCCCUAAAACUAGUUCAUGAAGGGAGAAUUGCUCAAGUCCAUGAAGGGAGACUAAUUGUUCAUCUUUUUUCAAUGUGGGACUCUUAACAAAAUCAACCAUCAUUUCUUAAAAAACAAUUACUGGCUCAUGACUGCUAUAAGAAAGGUCCAGGAGAUCCUGCAUUAGAUAUAUUGUUGAACCUGCAUAUAAUAGGGGUCAUUCUGAUAGAUAAAUUCUUUGAAAUAAUCUUAUGGGUUACAUUACACAAACUGAUUGGUGUCAUUCCCAAGAAUUCUAUAAGAGAGAUUACUGAAAGGAGAGUGACAAAUCAACCGAGAAAUGCACUAUUGAAGUAGGCUAUAACAAAGAUCUCCUAUGUAAACUAGAAAAGAUAUACAUUGAAUCUAUUAGGACCAGAUGCACUGUUAGGAUCCCUUUUAUGUUAUUAUGGUUAAGUUCAUAAUAUGUGUGAGAAACCAUUUAUUAGGUAUUGAGGCUAGAAGUGUCUUUGGUCUUGAAAGGCAUGAUACAUAAACAUGUCCUUUAAUUUGGCCUUAAAUCAUAAUCAUAUCUGUGACCUCAUGUUGGUGUAUAUGCAUUUUAUUACUAAAUUAAUAUAUUAAGUGCAUAUGUUGGUGGAUAUAAAUUGUGUAUUAUGAGUAUUGUUACUUACAUUUGUUAGUGAAAGAAUGUGGUCAUGAGUUUCUUGAAACUCUUGUAACCACUAAGUCUUUAUUUGCUCAUUAUACUAUGUAAUUAUGCUUGUAACUCGUGUAACAUCCAACCAUUCAUGUACCCACUUUACUACCCCACAUUCUUCCUAUUCAAUACAAGGGUUGAUACCUCACCUAUAAAUAGAGGCGAUCUUGCAUGUACGAAGAAAUAUGAUAAGAAGAAAAAGAUGUAAAGUAAAGUGAAAGAGAGAGUUGAGACAAAGAAAUUAUUCUAAGUCUUUAACUAUAUUCACUAUACAAAGAGGGUAAAUAUAUGUUGAAGGAAGGUGUUCUUAUGGUGCAUGGAGCUUCGGACUCUUCAACUAAUCCGGAGUUGUUUGAGUUGUACAUCGUUGAUGGGCUGUUGUAUCCCGGAGGGAACAAGUCACGAGAUAUAUUGCUGGAUCUGUGUAGAUUAUGCCAGAAAAUGAGAUAUCUACACCUCAACCAAGAAGAAGAUUAUUUUAUUUUCUUCACUUUUAUUCAUUUUAUUUUCAACUGUAAUGAUUAUUGUCAUUUGUGGUAUAUUACACCAACACCUCCAACUUUAGGUGUGCACAAGUAGGCACUUAAACAUGUAUAAAGUUGAAUCAGUAGACAGACACACGUCCUAUAUGACAUAAUACACAUAGGACGCCAUGUAGAACAAGAAUUAGCUAUGUCGGAUGUCACAUAGGACAUAUGUGUCUACUUGUUUAAUUUAGUACAAAUUUUAAGUGUCUACUUGUGCACACUCAAAGUUGAAGAUCAUAGAUGUGAUUUGAAAUCAAGUUAAUGGAGAGGUUUAUGUAUUGUGCCAUAUUGAAAUGAGCUUAAUGGAUAUCUUCAUUUUCCA